rnacentral:lncRNA from 1 species
CUUGGCCUUGAAGAGUUUAUUUACUCAUUCACUCAGCAGCAUUCACCAAGCCCUACUGUGUGCAUUGGUUGGGCAAGGGGUGGUGUUGGGGGUAGAGUGAGCGUUGCUGGCAGGGGGAGCCGGGGUGGAUGUGAAGCAGCCCACAGGUCAGGCCUCCAUAUCUGGAAAGAGCAGGAACCCGGAAAAGAUGCUGUUGGCACCCUCCAUGCCCAGUAGUGAGUUCUUGUCGGUGGCCUGCAGGAAGACGUUCUCCCCCUGCUCCAGCUUGAGGACCAUGCCACCGGUGGUGACCUGGAAGGUGUUGUAGGCAUAGUCACAGAAGGUGACCACCUUCUGUGCACGCUCCCGGCCACGCAUGAGGUUCACGCACAGGUUCCCUCGAGAGCUGGCGUGGUAGGUGAAGUAGUAGAGACCGGGCACCUUGCAGGUGAACUUGCCACUGCGGGGCUCAUAAUUGUUGUUCAUGUUGGUGAUCACGUGGUCGAAGCGGAUGGUCUGGUCCCGGCGCAGGGGGACGUUGAUGGUUCUUGUGGCAGAGAAGGCGAUUUUCUGGGUGGCCUUGUAGUCUCCCGAUUCACCUUUGGGGCCUGGGGCUCCAGGGGCCCCUGGGCCACCUUUAGGGCCCAUGGGGCCCUUGGGGCCGACUUUUCCUGGAUUCCCAGGAAUCCCUGGGUCUCCCUUCUCUCCGAACUCACCAUGGUCUCCAGCCAGCCCUGGAAGCCCUUUCUCUCCUUUUAUCCCUGGGGUCCCAGGUUGGCCAUCGGGGCCAGGUGUCCCAGGGAUACCCGGGAUGCCAGGGAUGGCUGGGGGCCCGGUGCAGCUGAGCUGGGCCUGGGAGAUAUCGAUUAGGCCCAGGAGCAGGAGCAACAUCAGUACUGGGAUGCUGCCCCAUGGGAUCUUCAUCAUCAUACUGUGUCAGACGCCUCCUGGGAAGCUGGUGUCCUGUGAGGCCACUGGGCUGAGCAGCAGUGGGACCAGGAGCC